rfam:Hordeum vulgare subsp. vulgare, WGS project CAJW01000000 data, contig: morex_contig_275271
CGAGUAGCGGUGAUGACAUCUAUGUGGACUAGAGUUUCUGAUGCUGCCUCUUCAGCAGCGCCUUUGAAGACAAACCCUUGGCUGUCUGAGCUCCCAG